UGGUCCGCGGCCCGGCGUCCGAGGAGCUGAUGCGAUGCUCACGCCCACGGGCGUGGCUGUUAACUCUACACCUGCAUCUCAUCCCAGGCGAUUAUCAGGUGGACUACUUGAUCCAGCCCAGCCUGCUGCUCCACGCCAGUCCGUAAUCGUCUCACAGCGAUAACUGCUCGGCGUGUUUUUGAGCCACCUGCCUGUCCACCUGCCCGCCUGGAGUUUUUUGAUCACCUUCAGUAUCCCUCACUUUGCCUUCCCUAGAGCUCCCCGCGGACCUUCACCCCUCCCUCCGGCUCUCACGGCCCCGCUUUGACUCCUCCCUCAGUCCCGUUUUCGGCGUUCCUGCGCGACUCUUCUCCCGGUGCCUUGGUUUCUCUAGUUUCACGUGUGUUUUCCUUAACCCUCCCGGGACACCUUUAGUUAGAAUAAAGUUUAUUUUCUCGUACUCCUGCGUGUGUGUUGGCUCUGCUUCUGGGUUCAGCUUGUGCACUGAACUUCGGUUCAUGACAGUACGGACUGGCCAGUAUGGACCCAGCAGAGCCACUACGCUCCGCUAUUAACAAACAGGGCGCUAUUCUCGGUCGCCACGAUCAGCAGCUCCAGUCACUCCAAGACCGUUACCAGGAGCUCAGUGAC